CAGUAGCCGCGGGAAUACGUAGGUGGCAAGCGUUGUCCGGAAUUAUUGGGCGUAAAGGGCUCGCAGACGGUUUCUUAAGUCUGAUGUGAAAGCCCCCGGCUCAACCGGGGAGGGUCAUUGGAAACUGGGAAACUUGAGUGCAGAAGAGGAGAGUGGAAUUCCACGUGUAGCGGUGAAAUGCGUAGAGAUGUGGAGGAACACCAGUGGCGAAGGCGACUCUCUGGUCUGUAACUGACGCUGAGGAGCGAAAGCGUGGGGAGCGAACAGGAUUAGAUACCCCUGUAGUCCCUGUCUUUUAUAC
rnacentral:rRNA from 1 species